UACGGGGGGGGCAAGCGUUGUUCGGAAUUACUGGGCGUAAAGAGCUCGUAGGCGGUCUGUUGCGUCGGCUGUGAAAACCCGGGGCUCAACCCCGGGCCUGCAGCCGAUACGGGCAGACUAGAGUUCGGCAGGGGAGACUGGAAUUCCUGGUGUAGCAGUGAAAUGCGUAGAUAUCAGGAGGAACACCGAUGGCGAAAGGCAGCACUCUGGGACGUGACUGACGCUGAGACGCGAAAGCGUGGGGAGCAAACAGG
rnacentral:rRNA from 1 species